AACGAACGCUGGCGGCAUGCCUAACACAUGCAAGUCGAACGAGACCUUCGGGUCUAGUGGCGCACGGGUGCGUAACGCGUGGGAACCUGCCCUAAGGCUCGGAAUAACACAGAGAAAUUUGUGCUAAUACCGGAUAAUGUCUUCGGACCAAAGAUUUAUCGCCUUUGGAUGGGCCCGCGUAGGAUUAGCUAGUUGGUGAGGUAAAGGCUCACCAAGGCGACGAUCCUUAGCUGGUCUUAGAGGAUGAUCAGCCACACUGGGACUGAGACACGGCCCAGACUCCUACGGGAGGCAGCAGUGGGGAAUAUUGGACAAUGGGCGCAAGCCUGAUCCAGCAAUGCCGCGUGAGUGAUGAAGGCCUUAGGGUUGUAAAGCUCUUUUACUGGGGAUGAUAAUGACAGUACCCAGAGAAUAAGCCCCGGCUAACUCCGUGCCAGCCGCCGCCGUAA
rnacentral:rRNA from 1 species